rnacentral:rRNA from 1 species
GACGAACGCUGGCGGCGUGCUUAACACAUGCAAGUCGAACGAUGACGACCGAGCUUGCUCGGUCUGAUUAGUGGCGAACGGGUGAGUAACACGUGAGCAACCUGCCCUUCACUCUGGGAUAACCUCGGGAAAUCGGGGCUAAUACCGGAUAUGAGCUCCUGUCGCAUGGCGGGUGUUGGAAAGUUUUUCGGUGAAGGAUGGGCUCGCGGCCUAUCAGUUUGUUGGUGAGGUAGUGGCUCACCAAGGCGAUGACGGGUAGCCGGCCUGAGAGGGCGACCGGCCACACUGGGACUGAGACACGGCCCAGACUCCUACGGGAGGCAGCAGUGGGGAAUAUUGCACAAUGGGCGAAAGCCUGAUGCAGCGACGCCGCGUGAGGGAUGACGGCCUUCGGGUUGUAAACCUCUUUCAGCAGGGGAGAAGCGAAAGUGACGGUACCUGCAGAAGAAGCGCCGGCUAACUACGUG